AGUGAACGCUGGCGGUAGGCCUAACACAUGCAAGUCGAACGGCAGCACAGUAAGAGCUUGCUCUUACGGGUGGCGAGUGGCGGACGGGUGAGGAAUACAUCGGAAUCUACUUUUUCGUGGGGGAUAACGUAGGGAAACUUACGCUAAUACCGCAUACGACCUACGGGUGAAAUCAGGGGAUCUUCGGACCUUGCGCGAUUGAAUGAGCCGAUUUCGGAUUAGCUAGUUGGCGGGGUAAAGGCCCCCCAAGGCAACGAUCCGUAGCUGGUCUGAGAGGAUGAUCGGCCAACCGGGAAAUGAGCAACGGGCAAGACCCCGACGGGAGGCAGCAGUGGGGAAUAUUGGACAAUGGGCGCAAGCCUGAUCCAGCCAUACCGCGUGGGUGAAGAAGGCCUUCGGGUUGUAAAGCCCUUUUGUUGGGAAAGAAAAGCAGCAGGUUAAUACCCCGCUGUUCUGACGGUACCAAAAGAAUAAGCACCGGCUAACUGCGU
rnacentral:rRNA from 1 species